GAUGAGCGCUGGCGGCGUGCCUAAUACAUGCAAGUCGAGCGAAUGGAUUAAGAGCUUGCUCUUAUGAAGUUAGCGGCGGACGGGUGAGUAACACGUGGGUAACCUGCCCAUAAGGCUGGGAUAACUCCGGGAAACCGGGGCUAAUACCGGAUAACAUUUUGAACCGCAUGGUUCGAAAUUGAAAGGCGGCUUCGGCUGUCACUUAUGGAUGGACCCGCGUCGCAUUAGCUAGUUGGUGAGGUAACGGCUCACCAAGGCAACGAUGCGUAGCCGACCUGAGAGGGUGAUCGGCCACACGGGGACUGAGACACGGCCCAGACUCCUACGGGAGGCAGCAGUAGGGAAUCUUCCGCAAUGGACGAAAGUCUGACGGAGCAACGCCGCGUGAGUGAUGAAGGCUUUCGGGUCGUAAAACUCUGUUGUUAGGGAAGAACAAGUGCUAGUUGAAUAAGCUGGCACCUUGACGGUACCUAACCAGAAAGCCACGGCUAACUACGUGCCAGCCGCCGCCGUAA
rnacentral:rRNA from 1 species